UAUCUAUAGAACCCAUUUGAAUUCUGGCAAUUGCUACACAAUUCACUUCUCUGUGAACCCAAUUGGCAACAAGUACAAACCCCCCGAGUUACCACUUUUUCAAGAAUCUGGUAUGGAGCUUGCUGUUGUAACUUCGACUCGGCGUCGGCUAAGUUGGAAGACGAUGUCGGAGUCAACUCACUCCGAAUUGGAGCUAGCCCUAUGGUUAACUCCAAAUUAAUUUCUUUAUUUUCAUGGCUGCUUUUUCUUUCUUCUUGGUGAUGGUGGUGCUGGUGUUGUUCUUCGUC
rnacentral:misc_RNA from 1 species